CUGGUAAAUCAAGUACUUUAUCGCGUGUCGACCUCAGGCCAUACUCCCCACCAUUGCGGGGUUUCGUCCCGAGCAUGCAAUGAAGACUACCACAGUGUUGUUGAGCUCGGACGCAACUGCCACUUUGUCUGGUAGCAGUGGUCUGGGGUAUUCGGUCUGGAGGCUUGCGCAUACUUCCAUCCCCAGAGGGUUGCGCAGCCAAUAGUGUUCGUCCAGAAACGUUCCGUCUUCGGCUACUCUGGUUUAGUGCCACUAUUGCUAUCUCUGCCUCAGCCGCCGUCACAGAGUAAGGUUUCCCUAAUGUACUUCGAGGAAGUGUGGGGUAGGUCUUGCCGUUCCACUUCCUCAGACGGUGAGCUGUCUUCGUGUCGCUCAUCUACCAUGUCCAAAGUACGUGGUGGGUAAUAGCCUUAUUUGUCGGAAGAUUG